CAGCACCCCGAACAGAUGAGUUUAAACUGAUAAGGGAAGAGAUUCGGAUUUUCAAGAAAGAAGUGUUUGACUACAUGGAUAACAACUUCAAAAAGUUGUUAGAUGCAAUAAAGGGCAAUCAAACACCAGAUAAGGUCGGCGACACAAUGUUAAAAGCUGACUUACAUAGUGAUGGUGGGAUUUCUCAAGGCAAUCAAAGUGGCGG